UGCAAGUCGAACGAACCUUCGGGUUAGUGGCGGACGGGUGAGUAACGCGUGAGAAUCUGCCCUCAGGAGGGGGAUAACAGCUGGAAACGGCUGCUAAUACCCCAUAUGCCGCGAGGUGAAAUGAAUUUCGCCUGAGGAUGAGCUCGCGUCUGAUUAGCUAGUUGGUGUAGGUAAUGGCUCACCAAGGCAUCGAUCAGUAGCUGGUCUGAGAGGAUGAUCAGCCACACUGGGACUGAGACACGGCCCAGACUCCUACGGGAGGCAGCAGUGGGGAAUUUUCCGCAAUGGGCGAAAGCCUGACGGAGCAACGCCGCGUGAGGGAUGAAGGCCUCUGGGCUGUAAACCUCUUUUAUCAAGGAAGAAGAUCUGACGGUACUUGAUGAAUAAGCCACGGCUAAUUCCGUGCCAGCAGCCGCGGUAAUACGGGAGUGGCAAGCGUUAUCCGGAAUUACUGGGCGUAAAGCGUCCGCAGGCGGCCCUUCAAGUCUGCUGUUAAAAAGUGGAGCUUAACUCCAUCAUGGCAGUGGAAACUGAGGGGCUUGAGUGUGGUAGGGGCAGAGGGAAUUCCUGGUGUAGCGGUGAAAUGCGUAGAUAUCGGGAAGAACACCAGUGGCGAAGGCGCUCUGCUGGGCCAUCACUGACGCUCAUGGACGAAAGCCAGGGGAGCGAAAGGGAUUAGAUACCCCUGUAGUCCUGGCCGUAAACGAUGAACACUAGGUGUCGGGGGAAUCGACCCCCUCGGUGUCGUAGCCAACGCGUUAAGUGUUCCGCCUGGGGAGUACGCACGCAAGUGUGAAACUCAAAGGAAUUGACGGGGGCCCGCACAAGCGGUGGAGUAUGUGGUUUAAUUCGAUGCAACGCGAAGAACCUUACCAGGGUUUGACAUCCUGCGAAUCUCUUGGAAACGAGAGAGUGCCUUCGGGAACGCAGUGACAGGUGGUGCAUGGCUGUCGUCAGCUCGUGUC
rnacentral:rRNA from 1 species